GAUGAAGAACGUAGCGAAAUGCGAUACUUGGUGUGAAUUGCAGAAUCCCGUGAACCAUCGAGUCUUUGAACGCAAGUUGCGCCUCAAGCCAUUAGGUUGAGGGCACGUCUGCCUGGGCGUCACAUAUCGUUGCCUGAUGCCAGUUUCCUCGUGAUGGGUGACUGUGCAGGGCGAAAGAUGGCUUCCCGUGAGCAUUGUUGCCUCAUGGUUGGUUGAAAAUUGAGUCCUUGGUAGGGAGCGCCGUGAUAGAUGGUGGUUGAGUGACGAACGAGACCCAAUCAUGUGAGACCCCUACCGAAUUUGGCCUUCAUGACCCACAUGCGUCUUUGGAACGCUCAUGACGAGACCUCAGGUCAGGCGGGGCUACCCGCUGAGUUUAAGCAUAUCAAUAAGCGGAGGA
rnacentral:misc_RNA from 1 species